CCCUUAGAUGUUCUGGGCCGCACGCGCGCUACACUGACUGGUGCAACAAGUGUCGCUCCUUGGCCGAUAGGCCUGGGCAAUCUUUGAACGCCAGUCGUGAUGGGGAUAGAUUCUUGCAAUUUUUGAUCUUCAACGAGGAAUUCCUAGUAAACGCGAGUCAUCAACUCGCAUUGAUUACGUCCCUGCCCUUUGUACACACCGCCCGUCGCACCUACCGAUUGAAUGGUCCGGUGAACCCUCCGGAUCGGCCCGCGCCAACGCAAGUUGAGCAAAGGCGGAGAAGUUGGGUAAACCUUACCAUUUAGAGGAAGGUGAAGUCGUAACA
rnacentral:rRNA from 1 species